UAACUGACAUAUUUCCUUUACUUUCGUUUUAUCGUAUUUUCGGAAAAUCUGGUUAUAAAUAACUGACGUAUUAUCUGAAAAUGUUAUAUGGGAUUUACGUGAUAUUUUCUGAAAAAUGGUCGUAUUUUGCAACACAAACCUAAUCGAUUAACACCAGAACAUUCUUUGCUGACUUAUAAUACAUACAACGAUAGAACAGAAACAAGGAAAACGAUUACAAUGGAUAAAAAUACAACAGCAGACCUGUUAAAAGAUUUGACGGAAUUAACAACCCAUUUAAAAGAUAAUUACAAAGAUGAUUUUGUAUGCCAAGAAUGGGCUACAACAUUCAGUUCAAAGUAUUACAAGAAAUUGGUUGAUACAUGUAA
rnacentral:lncRNA from 1 species